rnacentral:rRNA from 1 species
CUACGGGAGGCUGCAGUGGGGAAUUUUGCGCAAUGGGGGCAACCCUGACGCAGCAAUACCGCGUGAGUGAAGAAGGCCUUUGGGUCGUAAAGCUCUUUUCUAAGGGAAGAUAGUGACGGUACCUUAGGAAUAAGCACCGGCUAACUCCGUGCCAGCAGCCGCGGUAAUACGGAGGGUGCGAGCGUUGUUCGGAUUUACUGGGCGUAAAGGGCACGUAGGCGGCCUAGCAAGUUAAGGGUGAAAUCCCGGGGCUCAACUCCGGAACUGCUCUUAAAACUGCUAAGCUAGAGAUAGUCAGAGGCGGGUGGAAUUCCAGGUGUAGAGGUGAAAUUCGUAGAUAUCUGGAGGAACACCGGUGGCGAAGGCGGCCCGCUGGGGCUAUUCUGACGCUGAGGUGCGAAAGCGUGGGGAGCGAACGGGAUUAGAUACCCGUGUAGUC